UAGUGAAUAAACCUCUGAGGGAAUGUAGUUGCAUUCAUUAGGGGGCGUCAAAAUGUAUUCUUGCCUAGGGUGGCAAGAAUCCUUGCACCGGCCCUGGUCCCCAGGCACUUCAUCUUGGCUUUACUGACCAUAAAUAUACCUUCUCCAGCAUUAGAGAAUAAAACUGGUUUACCUCACAGUGUUUACUGAACUGUCACAAAUGACACCUCAUUUUCCUAAUACCAUCGGCUAUGUCGCCCAUUCC